rnacentral:rRNA from 1 species
UACGUAGGGGGCAAGCGUUGUUCGGAUUUACUGGGCGUAAGGGCGCGUAGGCGGCGCGUAAAGUCGGACAUGAAAUCAUUGGGCUUAACCCAAUGGCUGUGCCCGAUACUUGCGUGCUUAGAGUGCGGGAGAGGCAAUCGGAAUUCUCGGUGUAGCGGUGAAAUGCGUAGAUAUCGAGAGGAACGCCAGUGACGAAGGUGGGUUGCUGGACCGACACUGACGCUGAGGCGCGAAAGCUAGGGGAGCAAACGGG